UACAGAGGUCCCGAGCGUUGUUCGGAAUCACUGGGCGUAAAGCGCACGUAGGCGGAUUCUUAAGUCGGUGGUGAAAUCCUGGAGCUCAACUCCAGAACUGCCUUCGAUACUGAGAGUCUUGAGUCCGGGGAGAGGUGAGUGGAACUGCGAGUGUGGAGGUGAAAUUCGUAGAUAUUCGCAAGAACACCAGUGGCGAAGGCGGCUCACUGGCCCGGUACUGACGCUGAGGUGCGAAAGCGUGGGGAGCAAACAGG
rnacentral:rRNA from 1 species